CAGAGAUACAAGCCAUAAACUGCAUUUUACCCCCAUGUUCUAUUUUAAGCCAUGGCGGCCAUUUUGAUUGAUGGGCAGGGUCAUCGAAUAUAAUUUUUUAACUUAAUAUCCUAAGGAUGAUCAAGGUCAAGUUUGGUUUUAUUUGGCCCAGUAGUUUCAAAGGCGAAGAUUUUUUAAAAAGUUAACGGACGACGACGGACGCCAUUUGAUGAGAUAAGCUCUUAUUGGCCGGAGCUAAAAAUAAUAAAGAAACAUAAAUCCCGAACAGAGGUGACGUCAUAUUUAAAGGGUGAACAAUGGCUAAAAAAAAAAUGACAAAGAAAUAAUCCAACACAUAUGUUAAUAGACAGAAGAAAGAUGACAAAGGAAUAAUCCAACACUUAUGUCAAAAGACAAUAAAAAAAGAAAGACGAAG
rnacentral:lncRNA from 1 species